rnacentral:rRNA from 1 species
UACGAAAGGGGCUAGCGUUGUUCGGAUUUACUGGGCGUAAAGAGCACGUAGGUUGUUCUGUUAGUCAGAGGGGAAAUCCCAAGGCUCAACCUUGGAACUGCCUUUGAUACUACAGGACUAGAGACUAGGAGAGGAUGGUGGAAUUCCUAGUGUAGAGGUGAAAUUCGUAGAUAUUAGGAAGAACACCAGAGGCGAAAGCGACCAUCUGGACUAGAUCUGACACUGAGGUGCGAAAGCGUGGGGAGCAAACAGG